rnacentral:rRNA from 1 species
GCGAAAGCAUUCAUCAAUUCCAUUCUUUUUAAUCAAGGACGAAAGUCGGGUUUUCAAAGACGAUCAGAUACCGUUGUAGUCUCGACCAUAAACGAUGAGUGUUCAAGGCGUGUUCUUGUUGUCCCGCCUCGUUGUCGACCUGCGUGAGCAUGUUGAGUUCGAGUCGGUCAACUUAUAUCAUUCGCGUUUCUUUUUUUAAGAUGUUAGUUCUACUAACACUUGGCUUCGAUCGGAAUGAAUACGAAUUGUGUGGGAAACCAAAACUCCCUACGUGGAGUGUAUAGUAGCAAUACCGAAAUUUAAAAGAAUUGACGGAAGUAUCACUACCAGAAAUGGAUUGUGCUGCCUAAUUUGAUUUAACGCGAGGAACCUUACCAGUGCCGAACACCGUGAGGAAAGACAGAUUGCAGUUCUUUCUUGAUUCUGUGCUUGUUGCAAGUAGUGCAUGGCCUUUGGGAAGUGAGUGGAUUG